UACGUAGGUGGCGAGCGGUAUCCGGAUUUACUGGGCGUAAAGCGCUUGUAGGCGGCUUCGUAAGUUGGGCGUGAAAGCUCCGGGCUUAACCCGGAGAGGCGGUCCAAUACUGCGGAGCUCGAGGGUGCCAGAGGAAGGUGGAAUUCCUGGUGUAGCGGUGAAAUGCGUAGAUAUCAGGAGGAACACCCGUGGCGAAGGCGGCUUUAUGGGGCAUUCCUGACGCUGAGAAGCGAAAGCUAGGGGAGCAAACAGG
rnacentral:rRNA from 1 species